rnacentral:pre_miRNA from 1 species
UUUUUAGUAUAAACAUGUCCCAUACACUAUUUAGGACAUACUUAUACUAAAA